CAUAUUGCUCCUAGGCUACAAACCUAUACAACAUGUUACUGUACUGAAUAUUAUAGGCAAUUGUAAUAUAAAGAAUAUGUGACCUAAGUUGGCCCAAUCCAAAACCAAUGGAGAAACUUAUCCCAUGGUUGAAAGGACUUAUUUUCACUCCCAUUGGAGAGAGAGCUUCAAACAGAAGGAAGUUACCACUGUGGACAACAGAGGAAAGAGGGACUUUCUUGAGCUGUGACUCAAUAAGCCCUGGGAGCCACACCACCUUUCACUUCCUUUUGAGGGAAAAAAUACAUCUUAUCAUAGUUUAAAUUUGUUUUGGUCAGCCUUUCUGUUAAUUUGCAACACAGAUGCAGCUAGGAAAUUUGUCUUCAUAGCUCAAAAUCUGCAAUAUAGAGCUGAAAAGCACAACACGAAAACUUCACUAUGCAACCACAAAUAUCAAUAAUCGAAUAGACCAAGCAGAGGAAAGAAUUUCAGAGCUUGAAGGCCAUCUUGCUGAAAUCUUACAUGCAGGUAAGAUUAGAGAAAAAAGAAUGAAAAGGAAUGAACAAAACCUCUGAGAACUAUGAUUAUGUAAAAAGACUGAAUCUAUGAAUGAUUGGGGUACAUGAAGCAGAGAUGGAGAAUGGAGCCAAGUUGGAAAACAUACUUCAGGAUAUCAUCCAGGAGAACUUCCCCAACCUAACAAAAAGGCCAAUAUUCAAAUUCAGAAAAUCCAGAGAACCUCAGUAAGAUACUUCAUGAGAAGAUCAACCCCAGAACACACAAUUACCAGAUUCUCCAAGGUUGAAAUGAAGGAAAAAAUGUUAAGGGCAGCCAGAGAGAACUGCCAAGUCACAAAGGGAAGCUCAUCAGACUAACAGUGGACCUCUCAGUAGAAACCCUGUAAGCCAGAGGAAAUUGGUGGCCAAUAUCAAACAUUCUUAAAGAAAAGAAUCUCCAACCCAGAAUUUUCUAUCUGGCCUAACUAAACUUCAUAAGCAAAGGAAAAAUAAAAUCAUUUUCAGACAAGAAAAUGCUGAGGGAAUUCGUCACCACCAGGUCUGCCUUGCAAGAGCUCCUGAAGGAAGCACUAAAUAUGGAAAGGAAAAACUGUUACCAGACAUUGCAAAAACACACUAAAGUACAAAGAUAUGACACUAUGAAGCAAUUACAUCAAAAAAUAUGCAAAUAACCAGCUAACAUCAUGAUGAAAGGAUCAAAUUCACAUAUAGCAAUGUAACCUUAAAUGUACAUGGGCUAAAUACCCCAAUUAAAAGAUACAAAAUGGCAAGGAGAAUAAAGAGUCAAGAUCUACUGGUGUGCUGUAUUCAAGAGACCCAUCUCAUGGGCAAAGACACAAUAGGCUCAAAUAAAGGGAUGUAGGAAAAUUUACCAAGCAAAUAGAAAGCAGAAAAAA